AAGGGACGGAUGAGCUGCGCGAGCAGCAGCGACUCCAGAAACCCAUGGCGGAUAGGGCCAAGAAACGACGGCACCCGGAAGACGAUUUCCACCCGUCGCCGACAUUGUCGCCGCCCUUAGCGCAGAGGCGGGCGCGGUUCCCCAAGUGAAAGACAGCUAAGAGGGGCGACGAAAGACUCCCGGUCGAUGGGGGCGGCGGAGAUGAUCUCGACAAUUGGAUGGAUCCCCUGCUCGCCGCCAAGGAGCGUGCCAAGCGCCGCAACUGGACACGGGAGGACGAUCUCUUCGGCCCCCAGGAGGAUGUCUCCUCGGCUGAAGUCCGAUAUGAGAUGUAUUGGCGGCGAGUCUUGGGGUUGGUUGUGCUCCCGCAGUAGAAGUUUGCUGGGCUUGUUGGUGGUGUUCGGUUGAAGUUUACUGGUGCUUAUAUUUUCUUAGUUUGAUUUGUCAGAAUGGAGUGGUGAAUUUCUUGACUGAACUUUACUUUCCCUGCGUCACAAUCAAUCUUUGAUCUCCAUGUAUGUCUCUUUUUCACUAUUCUCUCUUCUUUUAUAAAUAAUUAAAUAGAUUAUUUGUCUUCUUUUCUUUAUUGGCAUAUUGUUAAAAUCUGGCUUAUGAUGGCACACCCCAAACGUUGGACAAU